GGAAGGCUGGGUGCCAGAGACACUCCACAGAGCAAUGCCAUCCUUCCAAGGAAAGACUGUCUCCAAAGAAUGAGAAAGGACAGAUGACCACAGAUUGUUCUGGAACAUAAGCCCAAGAGUCAGGCUGCAAGAGAAGGCUGAAGAGAAAAUUUGUCCCGACUCUUUAAAAGAAGGAAGUGUAACAACGUCAUGAAAACCAUGGAGAGACGGAGAAACUUCUACAGACUAGAGGAGAAUGAAGAAACAUGACAACUAAAUGUAAUAUGGCACCUUGGAUUGGAUCCUUGGACAGAAAGAUGGCGUGAAAGAAAAAAUUCAAAUAAAGCAUGGGGUUCGGGUGAAAGAGCUUCAACAUACAUUUAUUUAAUGCAUACGCAAUUAUUGGAAGAAUAUAUUUAAUAAUGCCACAACCACAAAAGGCUUGAAAGUCUGAACUCUGAAGCACUUUGCAGAUGAAAGCUACAUUUGCUACAAGCCAGGACAGUGUGAGAGUGAGAAUGCCUUCCCAUCCAUCAGGAGGGCUGGCUCUGGCAAAACUGGCCACUGCCUCUGGAGAAAUCAGGACAAAAAGACUCAGGCAACUGAUGCUGGAAAGAACUGCUGAGAGACGGUCCCUUAACAUCUGACACUGCUGUAUUGAGCAUGGAAAGAAACACAAUCCCACCCCGGCCUCCCUGUCUUGACUUAUUUGGUUAUCUUUAUCUCUCUAGGGCAUAGAAUCUAGGGCCUCUAGAGAUGACUGAGGAAAUGAUGUUUCCAAAGGAUAAGAGGACAUGGGAACUGAGAAUCAAUGAAAGGAAAGUGUCUCUUCAAUUGUUUUCCUUCACUUCUCACCUUCCAUUAUAAGACGGAAACCUGAUCAUCAAACUCCCCUUAACAACCUCUCCCAGGGCUCCAGGAUGUACAUACAUUAUUCUGAUUCCUCCAGGCUUCUGACUUUUCCCCACAUGAUAUACACCAUCGCCUCCACUACUGAAUUUUAUUCUGUUCCUUACAAUAGCUCUCAAGUAUCUUACUCUAAGCUGGUAUUCGUACCUGGAUCUACAUCAAUGACAAGCAAAAGAAGAAGGGGAAAGAGGAGAAGAAGGAAAAGGAGGAUGAGAAGAAGAGAAGGAGGAGUAACGGAAGGAGGAGAGAGAUGAGAAGGAAAAGGAAAAGACAACAGAAGAAAGGAAAAAGAAUAGCACAUGCAAAAUUAUUAAUUUGGGGAAGAAUUCAAAAAGAAAAGAAACAGCACUAUUUAUUUAAUGUAAGUUUUGAUACUGAAAAUAUAAGAAUUUAUCCAUAGGCCCUCAAAGUGCCAAGAGCUAAUAAUUAAUAGCUGGAGGAAUUGGUUUUAUUCACAGCAAGGACACUUUGGGCUAUUAACCAAGGAAGAGAACAUCAGAGGAGAAAAAAUGAGAACUUUCCACCCCCUCUUCCUGAACUAUCCUUUAGCUAGCACACAAAACCCGGCCAAGCAUUGCCUCCUGAGGCUAGAGAGGGUUUGCUUGUACUUUUUUGGCUAGUUAUGUGGUUUUAUUGCUCUAUAUUUUCACACGCCUUUGUGGAAGGGAAGAGGAAACGCAGUCCUGAGAGUUUGCUCUCAUGAAGAGGAAGCCACAGCAAAUCCUGAUAGAGGCAGAAACCCCUUGGGUCAUAUUUUUUCUUGCUCUGUUGUAGGAGGAAAAUACUUGAGUGACUGGGUUCAUCUUCUCAGAUAAAGAAGGACUUCUUUAUUUGGAAUCAGUGUUGACCAACUAGGGCAUUGGAAAGUACAGUGUAUUCCCACUUAGUGGCUAAUAUAAUCCCGCUAUAUACUCCACAGUAUAUUCCCACUUAGUGGCUAAUAUAAUCCCGCUAUAUACUCCACAGUAUAUUCCCACUUAGUGGCUAAUAUAAUCCCGCUAUAUACUCCACAGUAUAUUCCCACUUAGUGGCUAAUAUAAUCCCGCUAUAUACUCCACAGUAUAUUCCUACUUAGUGGCUAAUAUAAUCCCACUAUAUACUCCACAGUAUAUUCCCACUUAGUGGCUAAUAUAAUCGCACUAUAUACUCCACAGUAUAUUCCCACUUAGUGGCUAAUAUAAUCCCACUAUAUACUCCACAGUAUAUUCCCACUUAGUGGCUAAUAUAAUCCCACUAUAUACUCCACAGUAUAUUCCCACUUAGUGGGUAAUAUAAUCCACUGGAGUGACAUGAAUUAAUUAGUGGUACGCAAUUCUCAGAGAAAGUCACUUUAUGGGUUCUUCUAUUGUAUAUUUUUCAGUUAUUAUUGCUAUUAUUAUUACUCUAUUGUAUUAUUCUAUACUGUUAAUUUUUAAGGACCUCUUAUCCCACUCUCUAAGGUUAGACUUAUAAGACUUGGCAGAACCUACAGCUUAACAUGGAGGCAGGACACAGGGUACAUUCAAAGUGGAGAUUGGCACUGUUAUAGAUCCCAUGACUUUUUUAAAAAUAUGAUCAAAAACAGAGAAAUUAACACUGCAAAAUAUGAUCCUAUACAUUUAAAUAAUUCACUUGGAUGGGUGUGGUGGCUCACACCUAUAAUCUCAUCACUUUGAGACGCUAAGGAGGGAAGACCACUUGAGGUCAGAAAUUCAGGAUGAGCCUAGCCAACAUGGUGAAACCCCAUCUCUACUAAAACAUACAAAAAAUUAGCUGGGCAUGGUGGUGGGUGCCUGUAAUUUCAGCUACUGGGGAGGCCAAGACAGGAGAAUUGCUUGAACCUGGGAGGCAGAGGUUGCAUUAAGUCAAGAUUGUACCACUGCACGCUAGCCUGGACAACAGAACAAGACUCCAUCUCAAAUAAAUAAAUAAAUUAAAUAAAGAUUCCAUCUCAAAUAAAUAAAUUAAUUAAACAAAAACAAGACUCCAUCUCAAAUAAAUAAAUAAAUUAAACAAAAUGUAAGAUAACAAAAUUAUACAGAAAGUAUUUCUAUUAAAGUCUCAAAUCCUAUAUUAUCUUAACCUAUUGACUUUGCUUAGACAACAAAAAUACACUGGUCUAAAUUAAACCAUUUAUUUGAUAAGAAAAAUACACUGUUCUAAAUUGAACCUGAGAGAACCUUGGGAAUAAGUGUGCCAGAGCACACCCUUUUCUCCCAUCUCCCACUAUGAUGAGUUACUACCUCCUCAUUGCAGGUGAGCCUUCUCCUUCUUUCCACUUUGACCGUUACAUUCUUAGUUUGGACUCUGUCAUCUAAUUACUGCAGCUCUUGAAAAGUAGAGGAUUUUCUCUGAUUGAUGGUAGAAGUGGAAAUAAGAGAGAUUCAACCAUAAGAAAAAUUUUACAUGCCAUUGGUGAUGUUGAAGAUGGAAGAGCCAUAUGCAAGGAUGAGUUGGGAGAGGUCCCCAGCUGACCGCCAACGAGGAAGACCUCAGUCCUACAACCAUGAGGAACUGAACUCUGCCAAUAACAGGAAUUGAAAGAAGAGCCCAAGGUCCAGAUGAUAAUGCAGCUAGCUACCACUUUGAUUUCAGCCUAGUGAGACUUUAAGCAGAGAACCUAGCUAGACCAUUCAGACUCUGGACCUCCAGAAUUGUGAGAUAAUAAAUGG
ensembl:lncRNA